rnacentral:rRNA from 1 species
UACGGAGGGUGCAAGCGUUAUCCGGAUUCACUGGGUUUAAAGGGUGCGUAGGAGGGCAGGUAAGUCAGUGGUGAAAUCUCCAAGCUUAACUUGGAAACUGCCGUUGAUACUAUCUGUCUAGAAUAUUGUGGAGGUGAGCGGAAUAUGUCAUGUAGCGGUGAAAUGCUUAGAUAUGACAUAGAACACCAAUUGCGAAGGCAGCUCACUACACAAUCAUUGACUCUGAGGCACGAAAGCGUGGGGAUCAAACAGG